AUUGAACGCUGGCGGCAGGCCUAACACAUGCAAGUCGAGCGAGCGGCGGACGGGUGAGUCAUGUAUGGGGAUAUGCCUGAUGGAGGGGGAUAACUACUGGAAACGGUAGCUUCUAACGCAUCCCAUCGGCUGAGCCCAUAUUGGAUUUGCUUGUAGGUUAGGUAACGGCUCACCUGGGCGACGCUCCCUAGCUGGUCUGAGCGGAUGACCAGCCACACUGGAACUGAGACACGGUCCAGACUCGUGCGUGAGGCAGCAGUGGGGAAGAUUGCACAAUGGGCGCAAGCCUGAUGCAGCCAUGCCGCGUGUAUGAAGAAGGCCUUCGGGUUGUAAAGUACUUUCAGUGGGGAGGCGUUACUGACAGAAGAAGCACCGGCUAACUCCGUGCCAGCCGCCGCGGUAAUUC
rnacentral:rRNA from 1 species